GUAGGGAAUAUUGGGCAAUGGUCGGAAGACUGACCCAGCCAUGCCGCGUGCAGGAAGACGGCCCUCUGGGUUGUAAACUGCUUUUAUCUGGGAAGAAAAAGGCCAUGCGUGGCAAAUUGCCGGUACCAGAUGAAUAAGCACCGGCUAACUCCGUGCCAGCAGCCGCGGUAAUACGGAGGGUGCGAGCAUUGUCCGGAUUUAUUGGGUUUAAAGGGUGCGUAGGCGGCUGAUUAAGUCAGCGGUGAAAGACUUCGGCUUAACCGGAGCAGUGCCGUUGAUACUGGUUGGCUUGAGUGUCGGAGGGGUACAUGGAAUUGAUGGUGUAGCGGUGAAAUGCAUAGAUACCAUCAGGAACACCGAUAGCGAAGGCAUUGUACUGGCCAACAACUGACGCUGAUGCACGAAAGUGUGGGGAUCGAACAGGAUUAGAAACCCCGGUAGUCC
rnacentral:rRNA from 1 species